rnacentral:rRNA from 1 species
GAUGAACGCUGGCGGCGUGCCUAAUACAUGCAAGUAGAACGCUGAAGGAGGAGCUUGCUCUUCUGGAUGAGUUGCGAACGGGUGAGUAACGCGUAGGUGACCUGCCUGGUAGCGGGGGAUAACUAUUGGAAACGAUAGCUAAUACCGCAUGACAACAGUUAUUGCAUGAUAACUGUUUAAAAGGGGCAACUGCUCCACUACCAGAUGGACCUGCGUUGUAUUAGCUAGUUGGUGAGGUAACGGCUCACCAAGGCGACGAUACAUAGCCGACCUGAGAGGGUGAUCGGCCACACUGGGACUGAGACACGGCCCAGACUCCUACGGGAGGCAGCAGUAGGGAAUCUUCGGCAAUGGACGGAAGUCUGACCGAGCAACGCCGCGGGAGGGAAGAAGGUUUUCGGAUCGUAAAGCUCUGUUGUAAGAGAAGAACGAGUGUGAGAGUGGAAAGUUCACACUGUGACGGUAUCUUACCAGAAAGGGACGGCUAACUACGUG